rnacentral:rRNA from 1 species
GACGUAGGGCGCGAGCGUUGUCCGGAUUUAUUGGGCGUAAAGAGCUCGUAGGCGGCUUGUCGCGUCGGCUGUGAAAUCCCGAGGCUCAACCUCGGGUCUGCAGUCGAUACGGGCAGGCUAGAGUUCGGUAGGGGAGACUGGAAUUCCUGGUGUAGCGGUGAAAUGCGCAGAUAUCAGGAGGAACACCGGUGGCGAAGGCGGGUCUCUGGGCCGAUACUGACACUGGAGGCACGGAAAGCGUGGGGAGCAAACAGG